UUACGCCCAAAGUGUCAGUACCGUUGAGUUGCCUCAGCCGCUCUCUUCCCUUCUGUCAGACACUGUCCCGUGUGCGCUAGCUCCUCACAACUGAGCCCUCCCCUUCUUCAUCCUGCUCCUGUCCUCCCCUUCUAAGUUCUAGCUCUGCCACCCAACCUCAAGGCACCCUUUGAAAAUCCAGCUGAAACUACAUCUCUCUGCAGUCCAGACCUAGCUGGGUUCAAUGAUGGAGGUGUGUGUCCCAAGUCACAACUGAAGAACAGAUCACUCAACUUUACAAUGAGAAAGACCUGGACAUUCAGUGCCAGGGAAACAUAAAGGCACGUAAAACUGAAGGAUAUUUACAAUGACUUUGCCUGAGUGGUCACCUGAAAUAAACUACCCCUAUUGCAUGUUCACAAAUCGUACCCACAAUUAAGGAAAGGAGAGAACUUGGAAUGUGAAAGGUGCGUAAAACUUUCAAAUUAAGAGGAAAUGAGAAGAGGAAAAAGUGGAGCGGAAAGAAAAGAGAAAAAAAAAAUCGCAAUAAGAAAAAUGAGAAGGCUGCACGAAUACUUUGUACAGAAGUAAAUAGAGUGACUGUGACUUCUGCUUCCUGGGAGUGCUUCAUACAAAUGUUAUUGCAGAUGAAAGGACUUAAUGGCCACUGCUGCUUCUUGUAGACCCUGGGCACAUGCCCCUUUUGCCCAUUUCUUAAAUCAGUCCUCAAGCACAAUUGAUAUAAGGUGGCAAUUGCUAGUGAUAGGGAAAUCCUCCAUGAAGGAUCCGUCAGUUUGCUUACUCAGGCGCUAGAGAGCUGCUUACUCUUAUUAUCUGCAGGCAUCGCGGAGCUAAUAUCAACAUUAAAGUGAGCUCCACUUAUUAAAGAAAAAGCGCUCAGAGCCACGAGAGAGAACAAGAAGACUUUUAAGGGAGGGUGUGUCCAUAUGCUGAUUGAAGGAAUAGAUGAACAGACAUUUCUGGUAUGACGGAAUGAAGGCAGAACCAGAUCUGAAGCAUUCCGCAGCGCUCUCCCUCCCCACGGCCCAACACAACACUAUUAUUCCUUUCUGGGAGAACUGAAGAUGGGCACAAAUGAGCUGACACAGGAAGGGUAAGGAUAGACAAGGAGCUGGUCCAAUGAUUCGUGAAACUAACAGUGUGCUUCUCUGAUGAAAAAUGUUACAAUAAAUAUCCUCAAUUAUGGACCCAUUGUGCGUAGCGAUGAGUGAAAAGUUUUGCCAUAUUUCGCCACGAAAAUGAUGCCCAUAGACUUUAAUGGGUGAAAAAAAUCACAUGUAAACAAUUUGUCACACAUCUGGGAUUUCGCUGCCUGGCCCUGGAAGCUAUAGUAUUCUAGAAGGAACAGGCAAUCCAUUCCAGUGGUCCAGUUCACAUUUUGGAGAUCACUUUCACAGGAAGGCUGUGCUGUGGAAAAGUAUUUAAUUUGUAGUUAAGUGUUAGUAAAGUCUCUCUGAGCAGGGCACAGAACAGGAAGGUUACCUGUCUGUGUUAAGAACUCCCAGAGGGGCUGGGGGUGCUGCCUGCUACUACAAGGAGCAAAGGGAAAUAUGACCAGGUUAUUAACAUUGAGUCAAGACAAGUGAUUGAGGUGCUGCCAG